GACGAACCACCCAAACGUUAUUCGGAAUUACUGGGCUUAAAGGGUGCGUAGGCGGCCCGGAAAGUUGGGUGUGAAAUCCCUCGGCUCAACCGAGGAAUUGCGCUCAAUACUGCCGGGCUCGAGGGAGAUAGAGGUGAGCGGAACUGAUGGUGGAGCGGUGAAAUGCGUUGAUAUCAUCAGGAACACCUGUGGCGAAAGCGGCUCACUGGAUCUCUUCUGACGCUGAUGCACGAAAGCUAGGGGAGCGAACGGG
rnacentral:rRNA from 1 species